UACAGAGGGUGCGAGCGGUGUUCGGAAUUAUUGGGCGUAAAGGGCGCGUAGGCGGAUAGGUAAGUCAGGGGCGAAAUCUUCGAGCUUAACUCGGAAAUUGCCUUUGAUACUAUCUAUCUUGAAUAUUGUGGAGGUAAGCGGAAUAUGUCAUGUAGCGGUGAAAUGCUUAGAUAUGACAUAGAACACCUAUUGCGAAGGCAGCUUACUACGCAUAUAUUGACGCUGAGGCACGAAAGCGUGGGGAUCAAACAGG
rnacentral:rRNA from 1 species